UACGAAGGGGGCGAGCGUUGUUCGGAUUUACUGGGCGUAAAGGGCGCGCAGGCGGCGAGUUUUGUCAGGCGUGAAAGCCCCGGGCUCAACCUGGGAACUGCGCUUGAAACGGGCUUGCUGGAGACCGGGAGAGGAGAGUGGAAUUCCCAGUGUAGAGGUGAAAUUCGUAGAUAUUGGGAAGAACACCGGCGGCGAAGGCGGCUCUCUGGACCGGAUCUGACGCUGAGGCGCGAAAGCGUGGGGAGCAAACAGG
rnacentral:rRNA from 1 species